GGGCGCUCUUAAAAUGUAACCUCAGAGACCGGUUCCGGCCAGGAACGGGAAGUGCCUCAUUAUACCCGCUGGCAUUAACAUCAACACAGACCUUACUGAUAAGAAUCAUUUACCAUCUAUUCUCUGAAGCCUGCGACCUUUUCUCUCCAUAAUCCCUUAUCUUAACCCAGACAUUUCCUUUCUAUUGAUUCCAGGUUUUUAGAUAAACUCAACCAAUUGUCAACAAGAAAAUUUGUAAAUCUACCUAUAAGCCGGAAGCGCCCCCCACCUUCGAGUUGUCCCACCUUUCUGGACCGAACCAAC
rnacentral:lncRNA from 1 species